rnacentral:rRNA from 1 species
GACGAACGCUGGCGGCGUGCUUAACACAUGCAAGUCGAACGGAAAGGCUCCAGCUUGCUGGAGUACUCGAGUGGCGAACGGGUGAGUAACACGUGGGUAAUCUGCCCUGCACUCUGGGAUAAGCCUGGGAAACUGGGUCUAAUACUGGAUAUGACCUUUCUCCUUAUGGGGUUUGGUGGAAAGUUUUUCGGUGUAGGAUGAGCCCGCGGCCUAUCAGCUUGUUGGUGGGGUGAUGGCCUACCAAGGCGACGACGGGUAGCCCGCCUGAGAGGGUGAUCGGCCACAUUGGGACUGAGAUACGGCCCAGACUCCUACGGGAGGCAGCAGUGGGGAAUAUUGCACAAUGGGCGGAAGCCUGAUGCAGCGACGCCGCGUGAGGGAUGACGGCCUUCGGGUUGUAAACCUCUUUCAGCAGGGACGAAGCGUAAGUGACGGUACCUGCAGAAGAAGCACCGGCUAACUAUGUG